UACGAAGGGGGCAAGCGUUGUUCGGAAUUACUGGGCGUAAAGGGCGCGCAGGCGGCCGUGGAAGUCAGAUGUGAAAGCCCCCGGGCUCAACCUGGGAACCGCAUUUGGGACUGCAUGGCUAGAGUUCGGGAGAGGUGGGUGGAAUUCCCAGUGUAGAAGUGAAAUUCGUAGAUAUUGGGAAGAACACCGGUGGCGAAGGCGGCGUCACUGGACCGAUACUGACGUUGAGGCGCGAAAGCCAGGGGAGCAAAGCGGGAUUCAGAGU
rnacentral:rRNA from 1 species